GUCUCUUCUGACAGCUCCCCUUUUCUCGGAAUCUUCUGAGUGUGAAUGUUCCCAUUUGUCUUGUCUGCUGUCUCUCAUGGCAGCGGGCUUCUAGUUUGAUCUGUGGUUUCAGACUGUGAGGUCAUCUUCAGUAGAGGCUGCCUUCCAUGCCCCAGUGUGAGCUAGACUGAGUGGAUACAAGCGCUGGUCAGUCUGAUCAGCUGGCCUCAAAUUUGUUGCUUUGAACACAAAGAGAGAAAACGGAAAUAGCGCUCAGCAAAUAAAGCGGUGCUAUUGGAAAACCAGUUAGACUUGAAGCAGUGCGACCUAAAGCAGAUCACCUGUGGAGAGCUUGGGGCAGAUUUGGACCAUCAUGACCCCUAUGGUGGGGACUCUGAAUGACCCCAGUGCGGCAGGAGGUUAUUGACUUCCCACUGCGAGGAAGAGAGAUGCUGAAGAAAGAUGCUGGAGGCAGCAGCAAGGCAAAAUUCAGUUAUGCUCAAUUUAUCUGUCUUGUCUGGAAAUGCUAUUUUUACUCUACUCAUGAAGGAGAAAGAAAUACAAAUGAUCCA